CAUUACUUCUUUUAUCUCACCAAGGCCUUUCUACAGCUGGGGAAAUGAUUAAGAAGGCUCUGUAGAACAGAAAAUCUGAGAAAUCCUGUAAAAUUCAAUUUUAUUAUUUUAGAGGUUUCUGAGCAGUUAUGUAGUCCUUUUGAAGCUCAAUUAUAAUUCAACAGGAAGAGGUAAAGGAGAAAGAUUUUAAAUCUUCCUUGGCAAUAGGAGUUACAGAGGGACUGGAUAUAGAGUGAAGAUAAUGAGAUCUUUCUGUCCCUUAUAUAGCCAGUGAAGAUGCUGCAUGUAAUUCUUAAAUGAGUACUUAGAUCUACCGUAUUUUAGAUAAAGCUCCACAGAUUUCUCAUUUGUAAAACCACUCUUGGUUUUCGUAGAAGAAAAAACAGCAACAACAUCAAUGAUGACUUAUUCAAAACAAAAUUAAAAGAACCUAAGAAACUGUGGGCAUCGUUUCAGUGAUAUGUGCUUCCAUUUAUAGUGUUUCCUUUGACGAUGUCAGCAGACAUGAAUCAAAAUUCACAAUGACUAUGUCAAAUAUUUUGGAUUAUUUCUAGAACAAUCACAACUAUUUGCAGUCAGAAAUGCUGAUUUGUCAAAAAGAGAAUAAUGUCUUACCGGUCUUUGUAAAGAUUUGUCUUGAUAACGUGGAGUGUGUUGGGCUGAUAAAGUGCAUGUUUUGACUUUCCCAGCUGUCAGAUCAUAUUAUAUCCCCGUAUAGGUUAUGUAGGAAUGAUGGAAGUUCAACAGAGGAAACCCAGAAUCCAUUUUUACACCAGUAGAGACUGAAAGGAAGCUCAAACAUUGUGAAGCCUGUUGCUGUUCAUGGAACAUUUCAGAUCAUUGAGAAGCAUUUUCUUAAGUUUUACCAUUGUUCUCUAAACCCUGAAGAUGGACUUCACCCCCAUCUGUUAUCACUUUAAAGUGAAUUUAUUAUCACAAGGGAAGAAAACACAAAAGGCUCAGUGAAUCUGGUUAGAGAAGAACCUGUUCAGGAUGGAUAUUUAUGCAAGGUAUCAUGGAUGUAUUGAUAUCAUAUUUUACAAUUGAAGGUGUGGAUAUUUGCUUCUGGCAUUACAAUAUCUGCUUUACAAUUAUGACACUUACAGGAAAUUGGAAAACCACAACUUAAGUGGAAAAAGAGAGGAAUAAAGAAAUUGAGACAUCUUCUAAUACUGACAGGCAAGGACUACUUGGAAAAUCUACAUUUUAGCUGUGCAAAUCUGGAUCCCAAAAGAUGGUGUAACACAGGGUUUGGCCCGAGACAUUUCAAAAGCUUGAAUGAGCUGAAAAGCUAGAUGUAUUCAUUUAGCAGUACACAGUGUAGUUCUCCUCCAGGUUAUUCUAAAAUCUGUGCUAUCCGGGUACAGUAAGACACAUUAGUAGCAGAGCAGGGAUAAAUGCCAGUAACUUUUUCAAUUUCUCCAGAGGCCCCACAUCUUUGUCACUGACCAUAAGUGAGCAUUUCAGACUCUUUUUCUAUCAUUCCUGCUAAAGGCAGACUUGAGUCAGGAGCAUGGAGAAAACUGGUUGCUGAUUAACCUGUUUGACCUGUCACCUAAGAGAUUUGUGAUAUAAAAUAUUGCUUGAGCUUUUUAAACAAAUAACUGUAAUUUCCAUUUAAUUGAUUUUUGACCUUGCACUGCAAUUAUUCAAUGGUAAUUCACCUGAGCAUGGAAGAACAGCAGCUGCAUACAAACUGUUAAGAAAGAUGCUGUAAAAAAGAUAUGUGCACCAGAGAAAGACUGAAUUUAUUACAGGCUAGCUUACAUUUGUGCAGUAGCCAGUUGCAUACCGUUUCCUUUUCCUGUGAUGUAAUCAUCAAAGGCAACAUAAUUCACAAGGAAAACUUUGAGAAACAUAUGGAAGUCUGUGCUAUGCAAACAAUAAAAACCCUUGUUUGAAAGCAGUUCUAUUGCUUUGUUUUUAGGACUGUUUUUUUAUUAUUUAUUAUAAGACCCAGGAGCAUGCUUAGGAUUUUACAGAACAAAAAGGAAUUGCAGGUCCCCACCCUGAACAGCACACAGCCCAGGAGAAUGAAGACAGGAUUAAUUCAUAGGAGGCCAAAUUCUGUUCUUUGUCCAGAACAACCACAGUUUAAGAAUGAGGUGGCUCAAAUUCUGUCCUGGAUAUUCAACCCAUGAUUUUGGAUCUGAGAAAAAAAAAUCCUAUUAACCAUUCAUCGUAAUCUGGAUGUCUUAAUGAUCUGACUAUGUCCUUUUAGGUUGAUUACAGGGUAUACAGUAACAAUGAUUAUCACUGUUACUACUAUCCACAGUCAAGAUAAUCUGUAUUGCAGCCUUGCAUAGAGACUCACAUAGAAGAGAUUGUUUUUUACCAUUGCACACAAGUUGCUGCAAUAUGUGGAGAAUUGCCUUUUUUUAAUUAGGGUGUAAAGGGAGAUUGGCUUUUGCAGAAUAAACAGAAAA